CAGCACAGGAAUCCAUCUUCAAAGAUGUUAUGAAAUGGCUUAAGUUACGACCAGUCAAACUACAAUAAGUUACUAUUUAAGAGGUUUUAGAAGAAAUAUUAAUCAAUACAAUCAUUAAGCAAUGUUGCCAAACAUUGUUAUGGGAGUGUGUUCAAAUUUCAGAAUACUAAAGAAACAAGGAACACUGUCAAGGUUGGUAGGCACCAAACUGGAUUUUUUUUCUCCUCAGGUUUUUUUUUCCUGUGGGAAUGUUCUAAAAUGAUUUUUUUAUCUCUGGUUUUAAAAAAAACCCCAAUAGUCCAGUAUCUGCAUGAAUCCAGAUAUAGUAGAAUGGCAUGCAUUGAGAUGGGAGUUGAAAAGGUAGCACUUAAAUGAGAUUUAAAUCACCUCCAAGGAGCUUGUAGACAAUGGCCAAACUUUAAAAGGUACAUCAAAUCUGGCAUCUGAUCUGGAUACUUGCAAAAUUGGGGGUGAGUUCUGCAGACACACAACAUUUAGAUCACUCCUUGACUUGCAUGUGCAAAUGCUUGCUAACAAGGAGUUGGGUAGACUUGGCUCUGCAUCUGAUUGUAGGGAAAGAAUUAGGAUGGGUUGAGGUAAAGUCUUGACAGUGUUCUUUUUAACAAGGCCUCUGUAACACUUACAUUAGUUUCAAGAUUAUCAACAAGACUCGUUUGCAACUUGAAACAGUUGAAGUCUGCAAGUGACUUGUUCCUAAAUGGGUGGGGUAGCUUAGUUGUGGUAUGGAAUAUGGAAAAGUGUAAGCUGUGAGACAGUGAUUAACCAGCUUUAAGAACCUAGGAUGUACUUCCUUAGCAAAGUAUGGAUCAAAGGACUCAUAAGACAGGACUUCAGCAGCCUAUUGAGUAUGGACAAGUCAGCAUAAUUAAAGAAUGACAAGGCAGCAGCAGCAACAGCAGCUUCAACUUCCAGAGAAGUGAAGGCAUAAGAUACUGUGCUGAUAGUGAGCAGCUUUCCAAAGGCUAGUUAAAUCUGCUGAAAUAUCGAAGAAAGUCUAGCAAGAGUUCUUCACCUUUUGGAACCUCCUUGAGUGAUAGCCACUUGAGUUGACACAAAAUCAAUAGGUCUAGCAUUUAGACCUGAAAGGAAGGGCAAUGAGAUAGGUAAGGUUUGCCUUUAAAAAUUUUUCAUGAAUUAGAAUAGUAGUGGUUUUUUAAACCAGGUAAGAGUAAUUUAUUUACAUUGCAGGUUGAAUGAGAAGCUGCAGCUUGACAAAAUGAGGAAUGUCUUGCAUAUCCUCUUCAGUUCAAAGGUUUCUGACUAGUUUCAGUUUCAUCAGACAAGGAGAUGAACUAAUUAUUUUAAAGAAAAGUUGGACAUAUGUUAUACCAGAAUAUCUGAAUUUCCAGGUUGACUACUGUACCUCUAAGAUAACGUUUUCCUGAACUCAGUGGUGCAAGUCUAUCCAUCAUAGAAGAAAAACUACCCUUCCAUAGAGGAUAAUGUCACAAGAUUUGAAAACAGAAAUUAAAUCUAUAAUUAAAAUGUCAGAUAAAGGCUUAAAGGAUAAUAGUGUAGUGAAACUUUACAGCUUGCAUUCAAACAAGUUUUAGAAAAGAACAUCCAUAAAUGUUAACUAUGUAUAUCAAAGUAUUGUUGAUAAUGCAUUUCUCAUUUUCUGUACGAGAAUGAACUGUAAAUUGUCAUGACUUUUUAUUAAAAGUUCUCUUUUUUGAGUAGUGUC